UGAACUGACACUAAGAGACUCUGUGUUGUCUGCAGGAGUUGAGACUUUGUUUUGCACUGAGCACCUGGAAGGACAAGAAGACAGGGAAGCAAGGAGACCACCUACGUCCUCUGAUUCCCCCGCCAGGCUGGCGUUUUGCCUGUGAACCAGUUUGUAGAAAUACUUAAAAUGAAGAUGCAACAUGAACAGAUAACUACUGAUGUUCUUCCAAAACGUUUACUGGAUUAAUUACGUCACUACAAUCUGACUGGAUAUUUGAACAUGGUAGCCACUUGUUCACUGAAGUACUGUAUCUUUUUUGGAGGGUCUGUAGCAGAAGUAAAAACAUGGCUGAUGUAUUUUAUAUUCAUGAACUCAGGGCAAUCUAAAUCUAAGAUUAUCCUUCAGAUCUGAAGUUAACAUAAACCCACAAAUGAUGAGUGGGCAGCUGAGAGGACCACAAAUUCUACUCUUUGGAUUGAAGCUAGGAAAGCCAGCCUGUGCCCAGUGUUGUAAGCAGAUACUGAAAAGUGCUGCUUCCUAAUCAACUUCAAUAAAAGUCAAAGCUUGAAUUCCCUGGAAAGCAUUGAACCUGGUAUAUUGACAGAAGGCAACAUCAUCGCCCUGGAUAAUGAUGGCUCCAACCCUUGGAAUCUUUCACAAUUUGCGGGCCACCUCUUCACAGCACCACACUGAAGCCUCCAAAGAUGAAUGCCUGGAGGAGAAACCACUUCCAUACCACAGUGCAGACAAGG